rnacentral:rRNA from 1 species
UCGUUUAUUUGAUAGUACCUUACUACAUGGAUACCUGUGGUAAUUCUAGAGCUAAUACAUGCUAAAAACCUCGACUUCGGAAGGGGUGUAUUUAUUAGAUAAAAAACCAAUGCCCUUCGGGGCUCCUUGGUGAUUCAUAAUAACUCAACGAAUCGCAUGGCCUUGCGCCGGCGAUGGUUCAUUCAAAUUUCUGCCCUAUCAACUUUCGAUGGUAGGAUAGUGGUAAGCAUCNUUCUCUCCACGCUUCGCCUGGAGCCAAGCCAUAUGCUAACGGUUGGGGUUCUCUGUAGGCCUACCAUGGUUUCUACGGGUGAAACAUGUCCAUAUCCGUUGCCCGNAGGCACGAUCGUCGAGGGGGCCUUUGGGCCCCGCGCGGCGACACCGCUGGCUCANAAGACGCCUACGGGUCGAUUCUGGGGCGAGCUCCGACCUGGAGCCGCUCGAACGCNUGCAAAGCGGUGGGCUUCCGUGGGGGGGCUUUCGGUACAUGCUACCGCCCGGCGGAUCCGCCUGGGUGGGAGAAAUGAACGGGGAAUUAGGUUUGUUCUCCUUGUUCGUUUCCCACCGAGUGCACGCUAACGCUUUGUGUUUUUAUAGGGUUCUAUUCCGGAGAGGGAGCCUGAGAAACGUGAGUUCUCGUGUGUGUGAUUGCCCUUCCGACUCUUGUACUAACGAUCCAUCCUAGGGCUACCACAUCCAAGGAAGGCAGCAGGCGCGCAAAUUACCCAAUCCCGACGCGGGGAGG